GUGCUCGCUUCAGUAGCACAUAUACUAAAAUUGGAAAAAUAUAGAGAAGAUAAGCAUGGCCCCUGUGCAAGGAUGACACACAAAUUCGUGAAGCGUUCCAUAUUAUU
ensembl:snRNA U6 U6 spliceosomal RNA